UAGGGAAUCUUCGGCAAUGGGGGCAACCCUGACCGAGCAACGCCGCGUGAGUGAAGAAGGUUUUCGGAUCGUAAAGCUUUGUUGUAAGAGAAGAACGUGUGUGAGAGUGGAAAGUUCACACAGUGACGGUAACUUACCAGAAAGGGACGGCUAACUACGUGCCAGCAGCCGCGGUAAUACGUAGGUCCCGAGCGUUGUCCGGAUUUAUUGGGCGUAAAGCGAGCGCAAGCGAUUUAAUAAGUCUGAAGUUAAAGGCAGUGGCUUAACCAUUGUUCGCUUUGGAAACUGUUAAACUUGAGUGCAGAAGGGGAGAGUGGAAUUCCAUGUGUAGCGGUGAAAUGCGUAGAUAUAUGGAGGAACACCGGUGGCGAAAGCGGCUCUCUGGUCUGUAACUGACGCUGAGGCUCGAAAGCGUGGGGAGCAAACAGG
rnacentral:rRNA from 1 species